rnacentral:lncRNA from 1 species
CACUAACAUCUAAGUGAAUUAACUUCAACAACUUUGUGAUUCUUUCUUCCUUUCCAAAAGAAUAAAGAUUCAAACAUUUUGCCUCUAUACAAUUUUAACAAGAAGGUAUUGGAUCCGGAUCUAACGAUCCAAAGCAUCCAUCUAUGACCAACUCGUAAUUUAUGUUUUAGAGGUAUCACAACUCAGUUGGGAUUAGUCACUACCUUGCAACCUUUUGGGUUUUAAGUGAUAGGAGCAUAUUUAUGCGACUUAGUUGGCUUGUUCUUGUGCAUUUAUGUCGUGUUUCUUUAGUUAUUUUAGUGUUUAAAGCCAUUUUCAUUUGUUUGUAGGUCUUAAUAACAAC